rnacentral:rRNA from 1 species
GCCCUUAGAGUUUGAUCAUGGCUCAGGAUGAACGCUAGCGGCAGGCUUAAUACAUGCAAGUCGAGGGGCAGCACGGGUAGCAAUACCUGGUGGCGACCGGCAAACGGGUGCGGAACACGUACAGAACCUUCCUUUAAGUGGGGCAUAGCCCGGAGAAAUCCGGAUUAAUACCCCGUAAUAUUAUGAUGUGGCAUCAUGUUAUAAUUAAAGAUUUAUCGCUUAGAGAUGGCUGUGCGGCUGAUUAGGUAGUUGGCGGGGUAACGGCCCACCAAGCCUUCGAUCAGUAACUGGUGUGAGAGCACGACCAGUCACACGGGCACUGAGACACGGGCCCGACUCCUACGGGAGGCAGCAGUAAGGAAUAUUGGUCAAUGGAGGCAACUCUGAACCAGCCAUGCCGCGUGAAGGAUGAAGGCCCUCUGGGUUGUAAACUUCUUUUAUAGGGGAAGAAACCCGGGAAUUCUUUUCCGGUUGCCGGAC